GUCAGGGUGCGGUCCCAGGUGCCCGUCUCGCCGGUCAUCAGCUGAUCGCCGACGAAGUCGCCGUCCGCGAGCACACCCUGGGUGACGUCCUCGUCGUACCGGCCCCGGACCGACUGGCGCAGUUUGCCGUGUGCGAUCAGUACCAGCCGGUCGGCGGGCCGGCCCUCCUCCAGGAUCACCUCGCCGGGGCGGAAGUCGCGCUGCUCGCACCGGUCGGCGAGGGUCUCCAGCACCGCGUGGUCGUCGUAGCCGCGCAGCAGCGGCAGCUCGGUGAGCUCCAACGGGAUGACCCGGACCUCGGCGCCGGUGGAGACGAACUCCACCCGGCCGUCCCCGAGUGUGUGGGACAGCCGCCGGUUCACCCGGAAGGUGCCGCCCGUCACCUGCACCCACGGCAGGGCCCGCAGCAGCCACCUCGAGGUGAUCCCCUGCAUCUGCGGGGGCGUCUUCGUGGUGGUCGCGAGAUUCCGUGCCGCUUCCGUGGCGAGGCUCUGCUGCGCCUGGU
rnacentral:antisense_RNA from 1 species